rnacentral:rRNA from 1 species
UNUGACUUGAGUGCAGAAGGGGAGAGUGGAAUUCCAUGUGUAGCGGUGAAAUGCGUAGAUAUAUGGAGGAACACCAGUGGCGAAAGCGGCUCUCUGGUCUGUCACUGACGCUGAGGCUCGAAAGCGUGGGUAGCGAACAGGAUUAGAUACCCUGGUAGUCCACGCCGUAAACGAUGAGUGCUAGGUGUUAGGCCCUUUCCGGGGCUUAGUGCCGGAGCUAACGCAAUAAGCACUCCGCCUGGGGAGUACGACCGCAAGGUUGAAACUCAAAGGAAUUGACGGGGGCCCGCACAAGCGGUGGAGCAUGUGGUUUAAUUCGAAGCAACGCGAAGAACCUUACCAGGUCUUGACAUCCCGAUGCUAUUCUUAGAGAUAGGAAGUUACUUCGGUACAUCGGAGACAGGUGGUGCAUGGUUGUCGUCAGCUCGUGUCGUGAGAUGUUGGGUUAAGUCCCGCAACGAGCGCAACCCUUAUUGUUAGUUGCCAUCAUUAAGUUGGGCACUCUAGCGAGACUGCCGGUAAUAAACCGGAGGAAGGUGGGGAUGACGUCAAAUCAUCAUGCCCCUUAUGACCUGGGCUACACACGUGCUACAAUGGACGGUACAACGAGUUGCGAGCCGGUGACGGCAAGCUAAUCUCUGAAAGCCGAUCUCAGUUCGGAUUGGAGGCUGCAACUCGCCUCCAUGAAGUCGGAAUCGCUAGUAAUCGCGGAUCAGCACGCCGCGGUGAAUACGUUCCCGGGCCUUGUACACACCGCCCGUCACACCACGAGAGUUUGUAACACCCGAAGUCGGUGAGGUAACCUUUUAGGGGCCAGCCG